UGGAUUGGUGCCUUCGGGAACUGUGAGACAGGUGCUGCAUGGCUGUCGUCAGCUCGUGUUGUGAAAUGUUGGGUUAAGUCCCGCAACGAGCGCAACCCUUAUCCUUUGUUGCCAGCGGUCCGGCCGGGAACUCAAAGGAGACUGCCAGUGAUAAACUGGAGGAAGGUGGGGAUGACGUCAAGUCAUCAUGGCCCUUACGACCAGGGCUACACACGUGCUACAAUGGCGCAUACAAAGAGAAGCGACCUCGCGAGAGCAAGCGGACCUCAUAAAGUGCGUCGUAGUCCGGAUUGGAGUCUGCAACUCGACUCCAUGAAGUCGGAAUCGCUAGUAAUCGUGGAUCAGAAUGCCACGGUGAAUACGUUCCCGGGCCUUGUACACACCGCCCGUCACACCAUGGGAGUGGGUUGCAAAAGAAGUAGGUAGCUUAACCUUCGGGAGGGCGCUUACCACUUUGUGAUUCAUGACUGGGGUGAAGUCGUAACAAGGUAACCGUAGGGGAACC
rnacentral:rRNA from 1 species